AUGGCCGACGCGGGUUAAAGUGUAGUAUCCGUUCUUGUUAGCUUAAUAUCUGAUAUGGGUUGUAUUUGGACUCAAGAUAUAUUAAACUUAUUUUUACAAGUUGGCGGAGUACUUGAAGCCUGUUUCAUCUCCGGCCGCCGCAGGCCGGCCCGGUAUUGCACUAUCUUCGGAAUCGGCCCACGUCUU